rnacentral:rRNA from 1 species
GACAGGAGGUGCAAACGUUGUUCGGAAUUACUGGGCGUAAAGCGCGUGUAGGCGGUUCAGUAAGUCUGCUGUGAAAGUCCAGGGCUCAACCCUGGGAUGCCGGUGGAUACUGCUGGGCUAGAGUACGGAAGAGGCGAGUGGAAUUCCCGGUGUAGCGGUGAAAUGCGCAGAUAUCGGGAGGAACACCAAUGGCGAAGGCAGCUCGCUGGGACGGUACUGACGCUGAGACGCGAAAGCGUGGGGAGCAAACAGG